CCCCAAAAGGUCCAAUCAUGUGUGUUAAAAGCCCAUGUUUUUAGGUUAUUUCCUCACUCCUGUUGUCAACAAAAUGACCUCAGACUGUGGAAAAUAUCAGACUUUAACAGCCAAAAAUAAUAAUUAGAGAAAAACCAAAGUAAAGCUCGGCUUCCAUACCGUAUGAAACUUCAACGGUUCAUCUUGAAGCUUUAAAACAUAAAGUUUUUGUUUUAUUUUUUAAUCUUACAGAGAUUGCAUUCUGCUAAUAGAAUUAAAGAUAAAACCUGAGACCCAUCUUUGCAUCUGUUUGAUAUUGGACUCAAAAAAUGUCUGUUAAGAAACAGAAUUAAUCCUUUUCCUCUCUUUUUUUAAUUCAACGUUUCUGUUUAAAUACGUCUAUGAUCCAGUAUCUGACGGGAGUUGGUAUUAUAUUUCCAACAUUUCUUUUAGUGAAGUGAAGGUCACACACCUGAGGGUGGGGCGUAAGAUGCCGUUUCCAAUGAUGAAGUGGAGCUUCUCCAGGUUGGAGGUGGGUCGCUCUUCCAGCAUGCUGUUCCCCUGAAGGGCGUAGUCUCCGCCCUCCGUCAGCCUCCUGGCCACCUGAUGACCAAAAAAACCAAACAUUUUUAGAUGCUAAAGUUCAGCUUCAUGCUGCAGAGAGUUAAAGACACCAGUUUAUGCCUGACGCUGUUCCUCUUCUGGACGUCUGCUGAGCUGUUCUGUUCACGCAAACACAGGUCACGCCUUAGAAAGACAGCGCCACAGACCUGGGGCGGGACAAAGAAUCAGCGGGCGCCACCUCACCUCUUCCUCCACUUGGAGCUCCUGAAGCUCUCUCUUGUAGGUCCUCUUUCCGAGGGUUUCGUAGAUCUUCGUCAUGACCGGGAUCUUCUCGCUGCCGUCGUUGAUGACCAGCUGGCAUUUAGGCUCCGGGAGGUCGCCCAUGAAUCUCAACACGGUGAUCCACACCGCCAACGCCGCCUGGGGGACAGUUGAUCACAAACAUCUUUUAAUAGCAUAGAAUUUGAACCAGAAAUUCUCUAAAUCAUCUCUAAAUCAUCACAGAGUCAAAAAUGAACUAUCUUUGAGAACCCCUUCCCAUUUGGUGUCAUUGAAAACCCCCAAAUGUCCUCUUCAGAUGCCAGAAGCAGUUCAUUGGGUAGCAUGUAGCGGUUGGGAGAUAUUCAGGUUUAGAAAUGUUCUCUACAGAAGACACGUUUGCAUUGCAUUGUAGGCAGGAGGUUAAGUGCAUCAUUAUUUCCCUGCAGGUUAAGUGUGAAAAAAAUAAACAACUCUCAAUUUAGUUUCUUUAUGGGAAAGUGGGAGAAAUGUCUGUGGACUUUAAGACUUUUUUAGAAACAAAGGUCUGACAGAAGACAGAUACAAGAGAUUUUUUUUGCAAUAAUGUAUUAAAGUUGAGAAAAAA
rnacentral:lncRNA from 1 species